GUGUAAACAAAUAAAUAGCAAAUCAGGGGCUAAAGAAGGAAUCACUGUGUUAAACAGAUAUAACGGAAGGGAGACAGUGACACUUCUGAGUGUUUAAUGAAGGCCUCACAAGAAGAUAACCUUCAGACAAAUCUCCUGGCAUUCCAUCUUCUGGGGAAGGGCAUUUCAGCAAGUGUAGAGGCAAAAGCACAGGAAAAAGUUUGGCCUGGUUUAGAAAGCGAAAGGAGACCGGUGUCCCUAGAGUGUGUUUAGCCUUGAGAAUAAUUUCAUCUCAGGCUGAGAUUUCGGUGCAGCAGGAGACUAAGGGAAGGCUUUCUCCAAAUAUAGGGCAUCUUUUCAGGUUCACAUCUCUCUUUUGAUCGCUAAACAGCAUGGAAGAGAGUGACUGAAUCUUCCGGAGGAUACCAACUAAUUUGAAGUUUAUAAGUCGACAGUUCAAGUCGACUAAGUUUGUAAAUCCUUCUUGUUACUAAUUUUCUCAUAGGCUGGAGCAAGUAGUGGUUGACCACAACAAAGAUGGCGGCGGCGACUUCACACCCAACGGCGACCCCGACGCCAUUCGUCAACAAGGGAGAUAAUGUAAUUUAGUUCCGGCCUGUCUGUUUGACGUCACUUCCGGCCCCCGCCGGCGUUGUGCGCGCUUUUCUUCCUGUUUUAUGCGUGGAUGUGUAGAGGCAGAGCAGAGGGAGUUUCGUGGAGGAAGUCGGAGAGAAUGUGGGGCCAACAACAACAUGGAAGGGGCAGGCGGGAAGCCCACGGCUGUUGUUGCAGUUGUGACUGAGCCUCGAUUUACCCAGCAAUACAGGAAAUAUCUCGAGAAGCAGAAACUCCUGGAUCGACAACACCGUGUGAAAAAGCUGCGGGAUGGCACCGUGGCGCUACCGGUUCUGAGAGAGGCCCUCCUUGAGCAGCAUCUGCGGGAGCUGAGGAAUCGUGUGGCUCCAGGCAGCACCUGUGUGCUGACGCAGCUCCUGGAUCCUGUUCCUUCAAAGAAGGCCCAGAGUUACUCACCUGCCCAAAGGCUGUGUCUUGAGGUGAGUCGCUGGGUAGAGGGCCACGGAGUGACGUGGUCGACCGAGUUGGAGGCUGACCUGCCCCGAUCUUGGCAACGACACGGUGACCUCUUGUUGCUGAGUGAAGACUGUUUCCAAGCCAAGCAAUGGAGACAUCUGGAACCGGAACUCUGGGAGACGGUUGCCUCGGCACUUGGCGUCCAGCGUUUGGCCAAACGAGGGCGGGUGUCCCCGGAUAGCACUCGGACUCCAGCAGUGAGGAUGCUGCUGGGCGACCACGGCUGGGUAGAGCAUGUGGAUAAUGGGAUUCGGUAUACGUUUGACGUGACCCAGUGCAUGUUCUCCUUCGGAAACAUCACUGAGAAGCUUCGUGUGGCGUCGCUGCCCUGCGCCGGAGAAGUGCUGGUGGAUCUCUAUGCGGGGAUUGGUUAUUUUACCUUGCCUUUCCUAGUUCAUGCCGAGGCUGCUUUCGUCCAUGCUUGUGAGUGGAAUCCCCAUGCGGUAGUUGCUCUGAGAAAUAACCUUGACCUCAACGGAGUAGCUGAUCGAUGCCAAAUACACUUUGGGGAUAACAGAAAACUGAAGCUAUCAAACGUUGCGGACCGGGUGAAUCUGGGGCUGAUUCCCAGCUCUGAAGAAGGCUGGCCCAUUGCCUGCCGAGUGCUAAAACAGGACGCUGGAGGCAUUUUGCAUAUUCACCAAAAUGUGGAGUCUUUCCCAGGGAAGACUCUCCAGCCUCCUGGAAGCAGUGAGAUGGAAGAGCAUUGGCCUUCUCCUCAGCAGAUUAUCAGCACCCAGUUGAAAAAUGGAGCUACCAGUGAUUCUAGGAGGAAAACACUGUCAGUGGCCACCAAGCCAGAGUGGCAGAGGUGGGCCGAAGCUGCAGAGACUCGAAUUGCCACUCUUCUUCAUCAGGUGCAUCGAAAACCAUGGAAGACACAAAUCUUGCACAUCCAACCAGUGAAAUCCUAUGCUCCCCACGUGGAUCACAUAGUCCUGGAUUUGGAAUGCCGCCCCUGUCCUCUAGUUGACUAGAGGAGGUGGAUCCUGAGACAGAAGGAUCUACUUGUGAGUGACCCUGAAAGCAUCAGCUCAGGCCGGGUCUCACCCCUCUUGUCUCCUGUUUUCUCCAAGCACUUGCUGGAUGGCCUGACCCAGAAGAGACGUCUAACUGAACCAAGGAAAGACUAAAGGAGUCAGGAGGCUCACAGAGUCCUUACAGAUUCAAUCCAGGAAUUUACAGAAGCGCUAAAGCUUUCCUUUGCAGGUGCCAGUAUUAGUUGCUGAUUAAUGCUCCCACUUGAUGGAGAAGUUGUGAUUAAAAAGCAAUGAUUUUAUCAAACUCUUAACCAUGAACUGUAUUCAUUAACUCCAUAAUUUUAAUAAAUUAUAUACUUGGAUUAA